rnacentral:misc_RNA from 1 species
GAUGAAGAACGUAGCGAAAUGCGAUAAGUAAUGUGAAUUGCAGAAUUCAGUGAAUCAUCGAAUCUUUGAACGCACAUUGCGCCCGCCAGUAUUCUGGCGGGCAUGCCUGUUCGAGCGUCAUUUCAACCAUCAAGCCCCCGGGCCUGUGUUGGGGACCUGCGGCUGCCCGCAGGCCCCGAAAACCAGUGGCGGGCUCGCUGUCACCCCGAGCGUAGUAGCAACACCUCGCCCAGGGAGUGCCGCGGGCACCGGCCGUAAAACCUCCUCUCGCCCCCCCCCGCGGGAGGGAACACCCCAAAGGUUGACCUCGGAUCAGCUAGGAAGACCCGCUGAACUUAAGCAUAUCAAUAAGCGGAGGA